GGCCGGUUGGCCCAAUGGCAAGGCGUCUGACUACGAUCAAGACAUGGUAUCAGGAGAUUCUGGGUUCGACCCCCAGGCUGGUCA
rnacentral:tRNA from 1 species